AGUAUUGCCUGUCUCCCCUCAGAUGGCUCUGCAGGACCUGUGGACUCUUGGAGCCACAACUGUGCCAUCAAGUGUGUGUCCUUAGUUCCUCAUGCAACCGACAAGGAGCUUCACCUCUCCGUCCUUAGCCUGCUCACCUACACUGCCCACUACCAAAGGGGCCAAGGGGUGUGACAACUAGCACCUAUGUAGCUCCCAGCACAGACCCAAACAAGGAAGGGACCCUUCUCCCUUGUCUAGUGUCAUCUGAACCUUCUCUGGCCUUCAGUGGAAGGGAUUCCAUUCAAAGCAGUGAGAGGUACAGGUGCUGGGGUCUCUGUCCCGUCCUCUGCCCUGCACCCUAGUCCUUUAAUGUCUGCCAGAUGAAUUCAGACAAGAACAGGGCAUCAUACAGGAGAAUGGCAGGUUUCUUAGAGAAACAGGGAGGCAUGCCGGAGAGUGAGGGUGGGCAUCAAAGGCCCACUGCAGACGGAAGGCCCUCAGGGUAGACGAUAGCCAGAGGGCCAGAGGCUGCGUGGUUAGGUGGGCUGGGUCCUGUGUUCCAAAGUGUCUGCACAGACAGCCUUCCUGAGAGGUGGCUUCCUGCUCAGGAGAUUGAUAGGCCACAUAGGCUGACACUUAAAGGAGGGGACGAUUGUGUGUCUUGUUCUUUCUCAGGAAGCUCCUGCCACAUCGCAUCUCACGUCCUUUUAGCGAUUGAGAAAGUCAUUUAAAGGAUCCAAAAGGA
rnacentral:lncRNA from 1 species